UCGCGACCCCAGGUCAGGCGGGACUACCCG
rnacentral:rRNA from 1 species